rnacentral:rRNA from 1 species
GGGUAGUCCCAGCCGUAAACGAUGUUCGCUAGGUGUCAGGGGCGGUGCGACCGCUUCUGGUGCCGUAGGGAAGCCGUGAAGCGAACCACCUGGGAAGUACGGCCGCAAGGCUGAAACUUAAAGGAAUUGGCGGGGGAGCACUACAACGGGUGGAGCCUGCGGUUUAAUUGGACUCAACGCCGGAAAACUCACCGGGGGCGACAGCAAUAUGUAGGUCAAGCUAAAGACUUUACCUGAAUCGCUGAGAGGAGGUGCAUGGCCGUCGCCAGUUCGUGCCGUGAGGUAUCCUGUUAAGUCAGGCAACGAACGAGAUCCGCACCUUUAUUUGCCACCAAGAAGUCACGACUUCGUUGGGAACACUAAAGGGCCCCAUCGAUAAGAUGGAGAAGGAGCGGGCAAAGGCAGGUCAGUAUGCCCCGAAACCCUGGGCUACACGCGGGCUGGCAAUGGUAUGAACAAUGGGGGACUGU